AAAAAGAGGAGUGGCGAACGGGUGAGUAACACGUGGGUAACCUGCCCAUCAGAAGGGGAUAACACUUGGAAACAGGUGCUAAUACCGUAUAACAAUCGAAACCGCAUGGUUUUGAUUUGAAAGGCGCUUUCGGGUGUCGCUGAUGGAUGGACCCGCGGUGCAUUAGCUAGUUGGUGAGGUAACGGCUCACCAAGGCCACGAUGCAUAGCCGACCUGAGAGGGUGAUCGGCCACAUUGGGACUGAGACACGGCCCAAACUCCUACGGGAGGCAGCAGUAGGGAAUCUUCGGCAAUGGACGAAAGUCUGACCGAGCAACGCCGCGUGAGUGAAGAAGGUUUUCGGAUCGUAAAACUCUGUUGUUAGAGAAGAACAAGGAUGAGAGUAACUGUUCAUCCCUUGACGGUAUCUAACCAGAAAGCCACGGCUAACUACGUGCCAGCAGCCGCGGUAAUACGUAGGUGGCAAGCGUUGUCCGGAUUUAUUGGGCGUAAAGCGAGCGCAAGCGGUUUCUUAAGUCUGAUGUGAAAGCCCCCGGCUCAACCGGGGAGGGUCAUUGGAAACUGGGAGACUUGAGUGCAGAAGAGGAGAGUGGAAUUCCAUGUGUAGCGGUGAAAUGCGUAGAUA
rnacentral:rRNA from 1 species